rnacentral:rRNA from 1 species
CCUACGGGUGGCAGCAGUGAGGAAUAUUGGUCAAUGGGCGGGAGCCUGAACCAGCCAAGCCGCGUGAGGGAAGAAGGUACAGCGUAUCGUAAACCUCUUUUGUCAGGGAACAAAGGCGGGGACUCGUCCCCGGAUGAGGGUACCUGAAGAACAAGCAUCGGCCAACUCCGUGCCAGCAGCCGCGGUAAUACGGAGGAUGCGAGCGUGAUCCGGAUGUAGUGGGUGGAAAGGGUGCGCAGGCGGCCUGUUGAGUCAGCGGUAAAAGCCCGGGGCUCCACCCCGGCGAGCCGUUGAAACUGGCGGGCUGGCGUGGGAGAGGAUUACGCGGAAUGCGCGGUGUAGCGGUGAAAUGCUUAGAUAUCGCGCAGAACCCCGAUUGCGCCGGCAGCGUACCGGCUCCCAACUGACGCUGCGGCACGCAAGCGUGGGUAUCGAACAGGAUUAGAUACCCUGGUAGUC